GCAGGAAGCCCAGGAAUCGACCUCCCUUUGGUUUUUGGCUACCCCAUCCUUCAGCGUCCCCCAUUUGAGGCAUGGGUGACCAAAAACCAGCUGCGGGGGACGAUGCCAGCAGCUCCGCAGGCUCAGGGAGCACAUCCUUGCUCCUAUAGCGCGUGAGAAAGAGCCUGGGACCUGCUACUGGAGUCAGGCACCUUCACAGCCCUCCGAGCUCCCUCGCAGCUUGGGGAGGUUGUUCAGCAUCAGGGAACAGACUCAUCCCUGCACAGCGCCCGAGCAGAGCGGUCCUGGGAGGAAACGAAACCAGCUCGUGCAUCUGUUUGCACCAGAAAAGCACCCGCAGAUGUGAGCCUGAACCCACGCCUGCACGCGCCAGUGCACCCACCCGGGCUUGCGCAAGCAUCAACACACCCUUGCACGCUCACAUCUGCAUGCACAUCUGCAUGCACAAGCCAAUGCUUCGUUGCACACCCAAAUCUCACCUGCUGGGGCUGCAACACAGCCUCACUGUGCACAGACACCCGCCUGGGGGUGACACAGCCAUGGAGACCAGAGGCUGAGGAGAAGGAGGGUGAAGCUCAGGUUCUUCCUUCUGGAUGUUUCGAUCAGCAGGUCCAUCCCUGAAGCUCCAAGACCAUCAGCAUCCCCAGGGAUUGCUGGAAGGGCCACGCAGCUGACGGUGGCUGAGGGUGAGCCAUCCAGGAGAUCCAGACGGGAACCCUCAGCUUGCUGCAAUGUCCUGGAUGGCUUUUUUUCCAUCAAGGGUCUUGGUUUGAGGGAGGCAAUGGAGGAGAGAAGGCAGUGAAGAGCUGAGAACCUGCACCCUCAAAAGGAGCAGAGUGCCUCCAUCCUUUCUUCACAGAGGGGGUGUUGGGAAUGCAGCUCCACUCCAGAGCAAAAAGCAGAGUGAAGAGCUGGGGUACCUUGCUUGAUGCUGACACUGGGGUGGCUUUGUCCCAGGCCUUUGGUCUCCAAUGCCCAGGCUCUUCCUGAGGCAGCUAUAUCCGUGGGAGAAUAAAACCAGCCUUGAUAAAUGCAUCUCAGGGAGACCUUCCACCAGCAAGGGGCUGUUUCACCUCAGUGAUGUUAAUAUUAAUCUGCUUAUCUGCCCCAGGGUUAUAAAACUUUCAUCUCCAAAGGGGGAAAAAACUUCCCACUGUUUUUUCUUUAUAUUUGCCCUUGCUUAUUGUGGCCUUAUCAGCAAGCACAGCCCGCAGGGCAAGAGUCAUGCAACAGCUCCAGCAAAUGGGGCUUCUGGUCCUACACCAGCAUCAGCAUUGCGUGUUCCCACUGCAGCUGGAGUUUAUGGCUUUGUUUUAUGGCCCUUGUCAUAGGUAGGGGGGGAUGUUAAUCGGCUGAUGGUCCUCAUGGGUUGCUCUAAGCCAUCCUUCCACUUUUCCUCCAAGGUCUCUGAUAGCCUGUAGCUCAAACCAGGCUUUGGACCUCCCCAUCUUUACCCUUGCUUUUCCUGCAAUAUUGGGAUUAUUAUGUUGAGUGGUGAAGAUGAAGCCGGUGUGACAUGGCAUGGGGCUCCUCAAGCUAGUUCAGUGCAUUCAAGUGAGACCGAGGCUGUAUUGUCCCAAUGUUUCAUCUCAAAUCGGUGACCAAGCAAGACCUGGACACACAGAGACAGAGUUACUCCUUUUCUGGCUUGUUUAGCAGGUCUGAACACCUCCUGCUCUUGCUGGAAUCUCCCUGAGGUCUUGGGCAAUCACCUUCCCCAUUUUCUUCCAAAAACACACUCUUUCAAUUCUGUCUCUUCUUGGAAGUUGUUGUGCAAUGCGUGAAGAGUGGUUGGUACUUGGCCCUGAAAGGACCUCUCGUUGGUCACGGUCAGGAGCUACGGCUGAGCAGAUGCUACCCAUGGAAGCAGAUUCAGGAGGAAUCCUUGUGGAGGCUUUCUACUCAGCUAUUUUGGGGUUUUUUUUGACUCAGCUAUUAAGUUGUAACAUAAAGGGAGGUUUUUU